AUGGAGUUUGGGCUGAGCUGGGUUUUCCUUGUUGCUAUUUUAAGAGUGUCCAGUGUGAGGUGCAGCUGGUGGAGUCUGGGGAAGGCUUGGUCCAGCCUGGGGGGUCCCUGAGACUCUCCUGUGCAGCCUCUGGAUUCACCUUCAGUAGCUCUGCUAUGCACUGGGUCCGCCAGGCUCCAAGAAAGGGUUUGUAGUGGGUCUCAGUUAUUAGUACAAGUGGUGAUACCGUACUCUACACAGACUCUGUGAAGGGCCGAUUCACCAUCUCCAGAGACAAUGCCCAGAAUUCACUGUAUCUGCAAAUGAACAGCCUGAGAGCCGACGACAUGGCUGUGUAUUA
rnacentral:lncRNA from 1 species